AAUUCAAUUACAGGUGUACGAUUUCUUUAGCAUUGUAGAAGUUCAUACUUUAUACAUAAUGCUUUUUUGUUGUCUCUAGUAUAUAGUGUAGAUAGUUUUACCCUUUUUUUGCUUCUAGAUUUUACCAGGAUAGCAGAAAGGUCCAGAUUCAUGUAUCUCAACUUAGGUAUUCCCCACCACCCACCUUUUACAAGUUCUUUAACACUAGAAAUUCAUAUUGACAGUCAGAACCCUCUUGUUGCUUCUAGUAUACGUAUCUCCCUUAGUUUUACCCUUUCGUUGCUUCUAGAAUGUCAGGAGAGCGAUGAGGCCUAGACAAUCUCGCAGCUUCCAUAUUUCAGACAUCACCUCCAGCACAGGGCAGGUGUUGCGGUACACUGACAGGGUGAGGCUCAACAGGGCCUAGAGAUGGGUGAGCCAGACCUCCAUGGACCUUUGCCAGUCUGCUUCCGCUCCUUCUCAGCUGAACGCCCAGAUGAACGGAGGCUCCUCUGCGACACUUCCAUCUGGUCCACGUCUCCCCACCCACUGGAGGCUGGUUGUGAGGCGCCGGAGAUGGAGAGUCACGAGAGGAUGGAUCGUGUGGAGGCAGCCUUUCAUGAAUACUGGAGAGCCUGUAUGCUGGACCAAAGACCAAAGAGUGGGCUGUGUUAGUCACUCCCAGGGUCAUCAGCAGCUGUCUCCUCCACCUUGUAGUGGCGGUACUCCGGCUUCAGCUCCCACAUAUUGCGGUGAGGGUUCUUAACAUUGUAGUCACACACCUCCUUCAGGAUCUCCUUCAGG